AGCGAACGCUGGCGGCAGGCUUAACACAUGCAAGUCGAGCGCCGUAGCAAUACGGAGCGGCAGACGGGUGAGUAACACGUGGGAACGUACCUUUUGGUUCGGAACAACACAGGGAAACUUGUGCUAAUACAGGAUAAGCACUUACGGGGAAAGAUUUAUCGCCGAAAGAUCGGCCCGCGUCUGAUUAGCUAGUUGGUGAGGUAACGGCUCACCAAGGCGACGAUCAGUAGCUGGGCUGAGAGGAUGAUCAGCCACACUGGGACUGAGACACGGCCCAGACUCCUACGGGAGGCAGCAGUGGGGAAUAUUGGACAAUGGGCGCAAGCCUGAUCCAGCCAUGCCGCGUGAGUGAUGAAGGCCCUAGGGUUGUAAAGCUCUUUUGUGCGGGAAGAUAAUGACUGUACCGCAAGAAUAAGCCCCGGCUAACUUCGUGCCAGCCGCCGCCGUAA
rnacentral:rRNA from 1 species